CCGCCGCCCGCCCGUGGCCACCUGGCAACGCUACUGGGUCCAGCUGUGGGCCGACAGUCUCGUCUACUUCAGCUGCAAAAAAAUCAAGUGCACGGAGCGGAGCGACUUCAAAUCAGAGCCGAGCAAGAUGCACACGAUCCGCCACUGGUCCGUGCACGUGGACGACGUGUCGUGGCUGAAGGACACCUUCAUCCUGCAGAACCCCGCCUCAGGUGACAUGUACAAAUUCCGCGCGUCUAGUCAGGGCAAGGCCGAGGAGUGGGUG